rnacentral:rRNA from 1 species
CCUACGGAGGCAGCAGUAGGGAAUCUUCGGCAAUGGACGAAAGUCUGACCGAGCAACGCCGCGUGAGUGAAGAAGGUUUUCGGAUCGUAAAACUCUGUUGGUAGAGAAGAACGUUGGUGAGAGUGGAAAGCUCAUCAAGUGACGGUAACUACCCAGAAAGGGACGGCUAACUACGUGCCAGCAGCCGCGGUAAUACGUAGGUCCCGAGCGUUGUCCGGAUUUAUUGGGCGUAAAGCGAGCGCAGGUGGUUUAUUAAGUCUGGUGUAAAAGGCAGUGGCUCAACCAUUGUAUGCAUUGGAAACUGGUAGACUUGAGUGCAGGAGAGGAGAGUGGAAUUCCAUGUGUAGCGGUGAAAUGCGUAGAUAUAUGGAGGAACACCGGUGGCGAAAGCGGCUCUCUGGCCUGUAACUGACACUGAGGCUCGAAAGCGUGGGGAGCAAACAGGAUUAGAUACCCUGGUAGUCCACGCCGUAAACGAUGAGUGCUAGAUGUAGGGAGCUAUAAGUUCUCUGUAUCGCAGCUAACGCAAUAAGCACUCCGCCUGGGGAGUACGACCGCAAGGUUGAAACUCAAAKGAAUUGACGG